rnacentral:lncRNA from 1 species
GGAAAAAGAGCAAAGGGCCCCAAAUAUGCAGGAGGAUGUGGAGGAAGCUCCCAGUGAGAAAUUACUUGCAAGGAAUUAAAAUUCCACCUGAGGUCUUACCUGUAAGAGCCUGUCAUAGGGCUUUAAGCCACCAAGAUCUCCUGGCCCAGCUGGGCGAAUAUUUUUGACAUACACUCCUUUCUCCAGUAAGCCAUCUGCUACACUGAACCCAAAGUCCUCCAUGUCAGAGUCCUUGUACAAGGUCACCUGAAGAGAGAGAAAAUGAGAUGUGAAUAUUUAGCUGGGGUGGAGACUUUUCCUUCUGCAACUUCUUGAUAAACAAUCUUUUCACACGAAUUUAGUCACAUCAUGAUUUGCAAUAUCAGCAUCAGUCAGCUCCCUGCACCAAUCCUGCAGCUUUUUUUUUCCCACUCCAAGAAUAUCUUUGGACUUUAUGAAUUCCCAACCAAAGCUGAAAAAGGAGGAGAACUGGAACGUCUGGGUCCUCCCUCCCUCCUUUGCAGUCGUCAUCAGGGGGAUAUAGGAGAGAACUUCCUCAAGUGUCAGGGAUGACAACUGGCUUUUCAGCUUCAGGAAUGAAUAUGGACAACUUGAAGGAAGGCUUGCCAAGAUCCCAGUGGAGCCUCAGAUGCAGCAGAUGAUGAGAAAAACGAAUUAAGAACUUCUCAAUGGACACCAGGCUGCCUGUACUUGCAAUGCUGCCUCUAUCUCCAACUGCAGUUAACAAUGGGCUGGAAAGCGAUGACUGAUAUAAAGAUAACUGCAGAAGUGUGGUUAGCCAUCUGGGAAGAAGUCUUAUGAAUGCAGUUUUCUGUCAAAAGUGUUGACUUAAGGAAACACAGAUGUGUCUUCUCUUGAAGGGGAACUAAGUAGCUGUGAAUUUCAUCCUGGCUCCCUCUGAUGGACUAACCAUUUUCCCCUUCUGAACCAAUCAAACC